AAAAGUCAGAGAAUUUCGAAAAUAAGAAUGGAAUUUUGAGUUUCUCGAAGAAAUAAACUCGUUCUUAUACGUAAUUACUUG